rnacentral:rRNA from 1 species
AUUGAACGCUGGCGGCAUGCCUUACACAUGCAAGUCGAACGGUAACAGGUUAAGCUGACGAGUGGCGAACGGGUGAGUAAUGUAUCGGAACGUGCCCAGUCGUGGGGGAUAACGUAGCGAAAGCUACGCUAAUACCGCAUACGAUCUAUGGAUGAAAGCGGGGGAUCGCAAGACCUCGCGCGAUUGGAGCGGCCGAUAUCAGAUUAGGGUAGUUGGUGGGGUAAAGGCCCACCAAGCCGACGAUCUGUAGCUGGUCUGAGAGGACGACCAGCCACACUGGGACUGAGACACGGCCCAGACUCCUACGGGAGGCAGCAGUGGGGAAUUUUGGACAAUGGGCGCAAGCCUGAUCCAGCAAUGCCGCGUGCAGGAUGAAGGCCUUCGGGUUGUAAACUGCUUUUGUACGGUACGAAACAGACUCUUUCUAAUACAGAGGCGAAGUGACGGUACCGGCAAGAAUAAG